rnacentral:misc_RNA from 1 species
AUUUUUUUUUUCUGUUGCUGGAUACUACAGGUACACAAAAGGAUACAAUUCUGGAAUUUUUCACCCGAACUUUAUAAUUUUCCGAUGACGUGCCUAAAAAGUAAUUUCAUGCAAUCAAGGACUUCAACAAUGAAAUAUUAUACUAUUAACACCUUUUAGUCACCAAAAGAAUUACUGAAGUUGGCAUCUGACUUCUCUUUUUAUGCCUGAUAUCAGUGAUGUGGCACUGGCAUCGGAGUCAACAAUUACUAUACAAAUUAAACUUGGAUCAUUAUUUUUAAUUUUUCCAUUCAUUUGGUCAUAUUAAUUUUUUUAUGGGUCCCACAUGAUAAUAUUCAUCGGUUGGUGCAUUAGAUGGGUUCAAUUGGU